AUUGAACGCUGGCGGCAGGCCUAACACAUGCAAGUCGAACGAGUGGCGGACGGGUGAGUAAUGUCUGGGAAACUGCCUGAUGGGGGGGGAUAACUACUGGAAAGGGUAGCUAAUACCGCAUACCAUCGGAGUGGCACAGAUGGGAUUGGCUAGUAGGUGGGGUAAAGGCUCACCUAGGCGAAGAUCCCUAGCUGGUCGGAGAGGGUGACCAGCAAAACUGGACCGGAGCAACGGUCCAGACCCCCACGGGAGGAAGCAGUGGGGAAUAUUGCACAAUGGGCGCAAGCCUGAUGCAGCCAUGCCGCGUGUAUGAAGAAGGCCUUCGGGUUGUAAAGUACUUUCAGCGGGGAGGCGUUACCCGCAGAAGAAGCACCGGCUAACUCCGUGCCAGCAGCCGCGGUAAUAC
rnacentral:rRNA from 1 species